rnacentral:tRNA from 1 species
AUUUAUUUAAUAUAAAAAGUAUAUCUGAUUUCCAAUCAGAAAGUCUAUUUUAGAAUAAAUA